rnacentral:lncRNA from 1 species
ACGACACAGUGGAAUUAAAAAGAAGUUGUACUUUUCUAUCGGAUUCGUUAAAGGAGUUUUACGAACAUCUCCACCUUGACCUUAAACCCGUAUUAACUGUGAUACGUAGCGCUAUGGGUAAAGUUAAAUCGGGCGGAUAUUAUGCAGUUGCACGUGGGCGUAAAGUGGGUAUAUACAACUCUUGGUCCGAAUGCCGUUCUUCAGUGGACGGAUUUAGUAGAGCACGAUAAAAAAAAAUUUACAGUCUAGCAGAAGCUGAAAAAUUUGUUAAGGAAGAGAGUGCUAAAGAACCGGAAAUUGGAUCAAAAUCAAAUAAUUUUAGUAGGAGCCAUACUUCAGACAUUAACCAACAAAAUCAAAAUGAGUUUUCAUUUGAUGAAACAAAGACGGUCUCUUAUUACGUAGUUGCACAUUGGCGCGAAGUAGGUAUAUAUGCUUCUUGGUCAGAAUGCCACGCUUUAGUGGACGGAUUUGAUGGAGCACGAUAUAAAAUUUUUACAAUGGAGUAGAAGCUCAAAAAUUUGUGAAGGAAGGGACCACUAAAGAACUGUUGACUGGAGAAAAAUCCAAUAUAUUUAGUAGUAACCAAACUCCUUUUAUUUACUAUGAAAGUGGAUUUUCAAAGUCAGGCGCUUAUUACGCAAUUGCACGUGGACAUGAAGUGGGUGUAUUCGAUCCUUGGUCAAAAUGACGUUCUUUAGUGGUCGGAUUUGAUAGAGCACGAUAUAAAAAUUCCUCAGUCGAGAAGAAGCAGAAAAAUGUGUGAAGGAAGAGACUUUUAACGAUCCAUGGAUAGGAGAAAAGUCAAAUAAAUUCAGGAGGAACCAUAUGAAGAAUGAAAGUGGAUUUUCUGUUGAUAACACUGAUUGGACUUACGCUAAAGAUAAGAAUAUUAUAUGAAUGACGAUGGAUGGGUUAAAGUUUUCACUUAUGGAGCUUGUACUAAUAAUGGAAGGAAAGGGACGAGGGCAGGGAUUGGUGCAUUUUUUGGCAUUAAUAGUACAAAGAACAUUUCAGAGCCUUCUCGAGAAAUAAUCAAACAAACAAUAUUUUAGAAAUUCAAACUAUAUCUCAAGCUAUCAAAAGAGUUCAGGAUGAUGGACUAAGGAAAAUAGUUAUCUAUACAGAUUCUAAAUUUGCAAUAAAUUCAGUAGAAGACUCGAUGCCUAAAUGGAAGAAAAAUGGUUGGAAGAAAUCCUGUAGAGGACAUGUGAUAAACAAGAAUGAUUUUCGUGAAUUAGAGGACAUAAAAAAAGGAAUGACAGUUAAAUUUAUCCAUAUUCAGGCUCAUAAAGGUAUCAAGGGAGACAAACAUGCGGAUGCAUUGUCUCGAAAAGUUGCUAAAUAGUGAAUUUUGAAUGUAUUUAUUCAUUCUGUAACAAUGAAUGUGUUAAUUUAUUUUAAUGGUACUCUCAGUAAAGUUGAAUUUUAAGAAGAAACAAUUAGAAUUGAAAUGUUUAAGUAAAAA